UUGAAAGCUUGUUUCAGCAGCACAAAUUGAAGAAUACAAGGAAGAUUAGCAUGGCCUCUGCACAAGAAUGACAUGCAAAUUGAAGCGUUCCAUAUUUUA
rnacentral:snRNA from 1 species